rnacentral:rRNA from 1 species
GAUGAACGCUGGCGGUGUGCCUAAUACAUGCAAGUCGAGCGAACAGACGAGGAGCUUACUCCUCUGACGUUAGCGGCGGACGGGUGAGUAACACGUGGAUAACCUACCUAUAAGACUGGGAUAACUUCGGGAAACCGGAGCUAAUACCGGAUAACAUGUUGAACCGCAUGGUUCAACAGUGAAAGACGGUCUUGCUGUCACUUAUAGAUGGAUCCGCGUCGCAUUAGCUAGUUGGUAAGGUAACGGCUUACCAAGGCAACGAUGCGUAGCCGACCUGAGAGGGUGAUCGGCCACACUGGAACUGAGACACGGUCCAGACUCCUACGGGAGGCAGCAGUAGGGAAUCUUCUGCAAUGGGCGAAAGCCUGACGGAGCAACGCCGCGUGAGUGAAGAAGGUCUUCGGAACGUAAAACUCUGUUAUUAGGGAAGAACAAAUGUGUAAGUAACUAUGCACGUCUUGACGGUACCUAAUCAGAAAGCCACGGCUAACUACGUG